rnacentral:tRNA from 1 species
CUGGGGCUAUAGGUCAGUUGGUAGAGUGCCUGCCUCAAGGUGCACAAGACCCUGGGUUCAAAUCCCAGCACCAGA